GACGAACGCUGGCGGCGCGCUUAACACAUGCAAGUCGAGCGAAGCGGCGGACGGGUGAGUAACACGUGAGUAACCUGCCUUAGACAUUGGGAUAGCCUCGGGAAACCGGGAUUAAUACCAAAUGGUCUAAUGGGGAGUGGCGUCCCAUUAGCUAGUUGGUGGGUAACGGCCCACCAAGGCGAGGAUGGGUAGACGGCCUGAGAGGGGGAAUGGACACAUUGAAACUGAGAAACGGUCCAAACUCUACGGGAGGCAGCAGUGGGGAAUAGUGCACAAUGGAGGGAACUCUGAUGCAGCGACGCCGCUUGAACGAAGAAGGCUUUCGAGUCGUAAAGUUCUUUUAUAUGGGAAGCGGUACCAUAAGAAAAAGCCCCGGCUAACUACGUGCCAGCAGCCGCGGUAAUUC
rnacentral:rRNA from 1 species